rnacentral:lncRNA from 1 species
UAGAGGUCACCGUGACCCAAAACUUCCUGCGUUCUCAGGCCUGGCAACGCCUGCCAAAGCUAGCCAUGGUGGGGGUAGGGGAGCGCCGCUUGUGGGGAGCUGACCAAGUGUGGUGUCGGCCGCCCUGCCUGCCAACAGACAGCAACACUGGUUUUCCACUGCCGGCCAUUCAUUGGACUUGGACAGCUUUGUUCCUUCUCUGGGACCAAGUCAACAAGCUGGGACCAGAGGAGCUGCGGCUGUAGCACGCAGGGACCGAACAAAAGAGCAAAUAUACAGAUAUCCCUGGAAGCCAGAGUUCUUGGAAGGAAGAAAUACACAUACAGAAUGGGAGAAGGCAAGGAAAAACCCUGUAAGGUUGGGAUGCAUUCAGAGAAAUAGAAACUUCUGAUUCCAUAUAGAGGCCUUCCUUCAUCCCCUCAACCCUCAGCUUUGUGGCCUCUAUCUUGGACUGUCAAAGGCCAGUUUAAACAAUGGUCACACAGAGAUUCACACUUCUCGCAAGCCCCAACUCAAUCUCCUGCCAUGUUUUUCAGGAAAGCGUUAACCCAGUUGUCCUGAGUUGCUCCAACUUUGCAGUUCUCAAGAAAGCCCUAUUCUGUGGUGAGGCCUUAAACAGUUCUUGGGAAUUGAGAUCUUGGAAUGUUCUAACUUCUAGGAAUGCUUUAAACACUUGGGACCUUGAGCCAUAUUAUGCCAGGCUUUCUAAAUAGUUUGUAUGAGGAAUGUGAUUUAUGAACAAACUCAUUUCCUUUGGGGACCUGGAUCUUCAGCAACUGUAGUCAGUCCUACGGAUACUAUAUCCCUAUGUAACCAACCCACAAUGAAAAUUGUGAACUUAUAGGCUUAGACAAGUCUCUGUAAUAGACAAAACUUUACAUGCACCUUCACAAUUUAUUCUUGGAAGAAUUAAGUGCAUCUUAUGUGUAUUAAGUGUAUUUUCUAGUGACUCCACUAGAAGAAUAUUCUUAGAAGCUUGUGCCUGAUUUUCUCCAAACGUUACCCAUACACCUUUUCUCUUCACUGAUUUUUCUUGGGACCCUUUACUAUAAUAAACCACAAUCAUGAGUAUAAUGACUUCUAAGUCCUAAAAGCUCUUCUAAUAAAAUCACCAAAACAGGAGUGGUCUUGGGGACCUCCAAAACACUUUGCUUCUAGAGUAAGUUUUUACUGCUAUAAAUUUCCCUCUCAGGACUGCUUUAGAUGCAUCCCAUAUGUUUUGACACAUUAUUGUUUCAAUUUAAUUUGGUUUUGUAUAUGUAUUAAAUGUCCUUUGAGAUUUCCUUUUUGACCAAUAAAGUAUUUAGAAGUAUG